GGGGAUAUGGCUCAGUUGGUAGAGUGCUUGCCUAGCUUGCUCAAGGCCCUGGGUUCAAUCCCCAGCACCACCA
rnacentral:tRNA from 1 species